rnacentral:rRNA from 1 species
GAUGAACGCUGGCGGCGUGCUUAAUACAUGCAAGUCGAACGAAGGACUCCUUGUAGCAAUACGGGGAGGCCUGAGUGGCGAAUGGGUGAGUAACACGUAGGUGACCUGCCCCGAAGUGUGGAAUAACAGCCCGAAAGGGCUGCUAAUACCGCAUACGGCCUCCGGAGUUAGAGGUCCGGAGUCCAAAGGCUGCGCAAGCGGCCGCUUUGGGAGGGGCCUGCGGUCCAGUCGGCUAGCUGGUAGGGUAACGCCUACCAGGCGAUGACGGAUAGGGGGCCUGAGAGGGUGAU